rnacentral:rRNA from 1 species
CCUACGGGAGGCUGCAGUGGGGAAUAUUGCACAAUGGGGGAAACCCUGAUGCAGCGACGCCGCGUGAGCGAUGAAGUAUUUCGGUAUGUAAAGCUCUAUCAGCAGGGAAGAAAAUGACGGUACCUGACUAAGAAGCCCCGGCUAACUACGUGCCAGCAGCCGCGGUAAUACGUAGGGGGCAAGCGUUAUCCGGAUUUACUGGGUGUAAAGGGAGCGUAGACGGCGGUGCAAGCCAGAUGUGAAAGCCCGGGGCUCAACCCCGGGACUGCAUUUGGAACUGUGCUGCUAGAGUGUCGGAGAGGCAGGCGGAAUUCCUAGUGUAGCGGUGAAAUGCGUAGAUAUUAGGAGGAACACCAGUGGCGAAGGCGGCUUGCUGGACGAUGACUGACGUUGAGGCUCGAAAGCGUGGGGAGCAAACAGGAUUAGAUACCCUGGUAGUC